rnacentral:rRNA from 1 species
UGGCGGCGUGCCUAAUACAUGCAAGUCGAGCGAACUUUUGGGAGCUUGCUCCCAAAAGUUAGCGGCGGACGGGUGAGUAACACGUGGGCAACCUGCCUAUAAGACUGGGAUAACUUCGGGAAACCGGAGCUAAUACCGGAUAACAUAUGAGACCACAUGGUCUCAUAUUAAAAGAUGGCUUUUAGCUAUCACUUAUAGAUGGGCCCGCGGCGCAUUAGCUAGUUGGUGAGGUAAUGGCUCACCAAGGCGACGAUGCGUAGCCGACCUGAGAGGGUGAUCGGCCACACUGGGACUGAGACACGGCCCAGACUCCUACGGGAGGCAGCAGUAGGGAAUCUUCCGCAAUGGACGAAAGUCUGACGGAGCAACGCCGCGUGAGCGAAGAAGGUCUUCGGAUCGUAAAGCUCUGUUGUUAGGGAAGAACAAGUACCGUUCAAAUAGGGCGGUACCUUGACGGUACCUAACCAGAAAGCCACGGCUAACUAC